rnacentral:ncRNA from 1 species
GUCUAAGUCCUUAACUGGACUACGUUAUUAAGGUGAUGACACCUGUGGAUACUCCUCUAGUCUACGGCUCUGUCGCUAGUAAUUAAACAAUCCUUAGAGUCAUGGGAUAGUGUGACUAGCUGAACAAGCCUUAAUAACCUUGAC